GCACCUGACCAAAGAUAUAAACACAAAAAACUCACAUUCAAAUAGUUUUAUACAAAUAAGGACACAAGCCCAAGCCCAAAACCAAAUAAAGCAAGCCUGGCUUCCUAUUUUGAUGAAAAAUGACUAAAAUGCACAGUUUUUAUAACAAUUUACGUGCAUGCCAUUGACAUAAUCUCAAAACACAAAAACUGAAAUCCCAAAACCCAAUUUGCAGUUCUCCGAAGCAGUAGCACAACCAGCUCCAUAACGCCUCAAAUCAUUCCGAACUCGACGCGCCUCCGAGCCCGGCCCGCUCCACGACGAAGGCUCCAAUCAGUACUUCCUCGCCGACGUCGAGUCGAUUCUCAGACUUAUCAUCAGCGCCGCCGCAUCGGGAGUGGUGAAGAUCACCGAUCCCGCCGUCGAUUGCAUCCAAAAGCUAAUCGCGCAUGGCUACCUGCGCGGCGAAGCAAAGUUGCUGACAAAAUUAAUCAAGUCCGUUUGUAAAUGCCACGAUUUGAAGGAUGUUCAGAUGGACCUGCUGGUGCUGAAGAUGUUGCUGUCAGUAGUGGCAUCGAUUUCGCUGCAGAUUCACAGCGAUUGCUUGCUUCAGAUAGUGAGGACUUGCUAUAAUAUCUAUUUGGGGAGUAAGAAUAUAUUGAAUAAGACGAAGGGCGAGCGAGGAUGUUGAGAAAGUGGAGGCAGAGGACUAUGAGCAAUUGGCUAAGGAGCUCGAGAGUGCUUCUCUUCUUGAGAUCAUGACAAGGCGCUUGAGAAAUUCGGCAACGACAUUGCUAUUGCCUUCAGUAGUAGAACUGGACAACACGAGUAUAAGUGCAGUAGCAGAACUGGACAAGUAUGAGUGCAGUAGCAGAACUGGACAAG